GCAGGUACAGAGGGAUGCUACCGGGCGACCGGAUGCGGAUCUCGAAAGCCUGUCCCAGUUCGGACUGGAGUCUGCAACCCGACUCCACGAAGUUGGAUUCGCUAGUAAUCGCGCAUCAGCCAUGACGCGGUGAAUACGUUCCCGGGCCUUGUACACACCGCCCGUCAAGCCAUGGGAGCCGGGGGCGCCUGAAGUCCGGGACCGCGAGGACCGGCCUAGGGCGAAACUGGUAACUGGGGCUAAGUCGUAACAAGGUACC
rnacentral:rRNA from 1 species